UACGUAGGGUGCGAGCGUUAAUCGGAAUUACUGGGCGUAAAGCGUGCGCAGGCGGUUCGCUAAGACCGAUGUGAAAUCCCCGGGCUUAACCUGGGAACUGCAUUGGUGACUGGCGGGCUAGAGUGUGGCAGAGGGGGGUAGAAUUCCACGUGUAGCAGUGAAAUGCGUAGAGAUGUGGAGGAACACCGAUGGCGAAGGCAGCCUCCUGGGCCAGCACUGACGCUCAUGCACGAAAGCGUGGGGAGCAAACAGG
rnacentral:rRNA from 1 species